rnacentral:rRNA from 1 species
UACAGAGGAUGCAAGCGUUAUCCGGAAUGAUUGGGCGUAAAGCGUCUGUAGGUGGCUUUUUAAGUCCGCCGUCAAAUCCCAAAGCUUAACUUUGGAACUGCGUCGGAUACUGGAUGGCUUGAAUUCGGGAGAGGGAUGCAGAAUUCCAGGUGUAGCGGUGAAAUGCGUAGAUAUCUGGAGGAAUACCGGUGGCGAAGGCGGCAUCCUGGACCGACAUUGACGCUGAUGAGCGAAAGCUAGGGGAGCAAACGGG